rnacentral:tRNA from 1 species
GCCCAGGUGGCGGAAUUGGCAGACGCGCCAGCUUGAGGUGCUGGUUCCCCACAAGGGAAUGGAGGUUCGAGUCCUCUCCUGGGCA